rnacentral:other from 1 species
AGCUCUCUGCCCAGUGCGUGAAAUCUGAACGCCCACGCGGAAUAUGCAUGAAUCGGGGUUUCUUCCAGAGGUGUUGUGUGCCAGCCCUCCCCGUAGAGGGACGCCUGAUACGCCCACAAGGGACCCCACCUGUUUGGCUCUCGUUGUGAGGCCAAAGAUUCACGGCUGGCGUGGAGAGCGC